rnacentral:rRNA from 1 species
ACGGGUGAGUAACACGUGGGCAAUCUGCCCUGCACUCUGGGACAAGCCCUGGAAACGGGGUCUAAUACCGGAUAAUACCUUCCCUCGCAUGGGGGUGGGUUCAAAGCUCCGGCGGUGCAGGAUGAGCCCGCGGCCUAUCAGCUUGUUGGUGAGGUAGUGGCUCACCAAGGCGACGACGGGUAGCCGGCCUGAGAGGGCGACCGGCCACACUGGGACUGAGACACGGCCCAGACUCCUACGGGAGGCAGCAGUGGGGAAUAUUGCACAAUGGGCGAAAGCCUGAUGCAGCGACGCCGCGUGAGGGAUGACGGCCUUCGGGUUGUAAACCUCUUUCAGCAGGGAAGAAGCGAAAGUGACAGUACCUGCAGAAGAAGCGCCGGCUAACUACGUGCCAGCAGCCGCGGUAAUACGUAGGGCGCAAGCGUUGUCCGGAAUUAUUGGGCGUAAAGAGCUCGUAGGCGGUCUGUCGCGUCGGAUGUGAAAGCCCGGGGCUUAACCCCGGGUCUGCAUUCGAUACGGGCAGACUAGAGUGUGGUAGGGGGGAUCGGAAUUCCUGGUGUAGCGGUGAAAUGCGCAGA